AUCUUUGUUUUUGCGCUCAGAUUUAACCUUCUUACACUGGUAUUGUCUUCUCAUGUGACAACUUUUUCUCUACACGGAUCAAAACUCCUCCCACAAGUCUGUCCCCUGCUCUCACGGAUCUUGUCUGCUCUCGCUCAAAACUUAGAAGUACAAUCUCCUAGCAACCGCUCAGCCAAUAGAAAGACUUGUGGGACUGGGCGGGAACAAACCUCUUUGGGGUGCGCUCGUUUUGCGCUCUGUGGAUUUUCCUGUGUGGCUGCCGCAUCUGCGCACUAACAGCCUGGCUAAUACCCGCUCUGAUCUGGAGCGAGAGUUUCACCUGCACCAGCAAAAUGGACCAGAACCAACAAGACGCUCAAACUGGUUCCAUCCGAGAAGUUACGAGAAACCUUAUGGAUUUACUGAAUGCUCAUCUACAAGCAGAGGGCCCGCAACAAACACCAACUGUGCCACAGCGCACAACACCAGCGACAACACCUUAACAGACUAUCCCUCGGUCUACAGUUCAUCAAGAAAUGUCAAGGAUUUCCAAGAGCCAGACAUCGACUGGGAUGUUGCUGCAGAGUACAGCCCAGAUGUGGACGGUGCUGCUGUGGUCCCGGAGUUCGACAGUCCCCUCACUGAAGAGCAGCAUGCUGAACUGCAUCCAUGCUUUCGUUCUUUUUUAAACACAGAAACAGUUUUGUUUACCUGUUAGUAGCUACAGUUUCGCCGACGGCUGCC